rnacentral:rRNA from 1 species
AGCGAACGCUGGCGGCAGGCCUAACACAUGCAAGUCGAACGAACUCUUCGGAGUUAGUGGCGGACGGGUGAGUAACACGUGGGAACGUGCCUUUUGGUUCGGAAUAACUCAGUGAAACUUGUGCUAAUACCGAAUGUGCCCUUCGGGGGAAAGAUUUAUCGCCAUUAGAGCGGCCCGCGUCUGAUUAGCUAGUUGGUGAGGUAACGGCUCACCAAGGCGACGAUCAGUAGCUGGUCUGAGAGGAUGACCAGCCACACUGGGACUGAGACACGGCCCAGACUACUACGGGAGGCAGGAGUGGGGAAUCUUGCGCAAUGGGCGAAAGCCUGACGCAGCCAUGCCGCGUGAAUGAUGAAGGUCUUAGGAUUGUAAAAUUCUUUCACCGGGGACGAUAAUGACGGUACCCGGAGAAGAAGCCCCGGCUAACUUCGUG